AUGGGGGGGCUAACAGAAAAAUUAAAAUUUGUUUUUGAUUUCCUGCAAAAACGAGGAACCACCAAACGUUUGGAAUACGGUACCAAACACUACCAAACGACCACCAAACGAUUGGUAAAAAAAAAAAAAAUUAAGAAAAGUCAAAGUGGGGGGCUAACAGAAGAACCAAAAUUUGUUUUUGAUUUCCUGAAAAAACGAGAAACCACCAAAUGUUUGGAAUACGUGGUACUUCCGCCGAAGGCAUCUAUUGAUUCCGAGACUGCCAUUGAUAAUCUUAUCGAUACAUCUAAUACAGGAUCGUCAUUAACAGGCGAUCAGUUGGAUUUUGUGAAUACACGAAAUGACUCUACAUCACCUGAUACUCUUGCACAAAGGAAAAAAGUGAAGUCUUGGGGAAAAAUUCAAAAAAUUGAAGGAUGGUUACUUGAAGCUGAGAGAAGGGCAUAUCAGAAUCUGCAUAUAAUCCGAAAAAAAGCUGAACUAGAAAAAGAAUUGGGACGAAUAAAGAUAUUACGAGAGCAAUCUGAACGUCGGAAAUUGAAGGCGAAAAAGCGAUUACAGGACUUGCUUCAAGGACAAUAAGUUGUCGUCGGAACAAUAAGUACAGAGAGUAGCGCAAGCGCGCGAGGAUUUGGAGAAUGUUGGAAAGAAACUCGAUACUGUUCAAACUGAAAAUUUGGCGUUGAUUGCAAAAAUGGAUUUUAUUACAUCUGAGAAAACAGUUUUGGAAGGAUUCGAGAUCUCCAUAUUUACUGAUACAAAGGCAGGAACUGGAUUUACGAAUAGCAAAUUUGGAAGCUGAUGUUUGUUUGAUUUACUAUGUGAGUAAUAAUGUAAUUGAAUAAAUAUGUUU